UGCAAUGAUGUCAUCUUACUACUGAAA
rnacentral:piRNA from 1 species